UACAGAGGUCUCAAGCGUUGUUCGGAUUCAUUGGGCGUAAAGGGUGCGUAGGCGGCGCGGUAAGUCGGGUGUGAAAUCUCAGGGCUCAACCCUGAAACUGCACUUGAUACUGCGUGGCUCGGGUACUGGAGAGGAGACUGGAAUUUACGGUGUAGCGGUGAAAUGCGUAGAUAUCGUAAGGAAGACCAGUGGCGAAGGCGGGUCUCUGGACAGUUCCUGACGCUGAGGCACGAAGGUCAGGGGAGCAAACGGG
rnacentral:rRNA from 1 species